CUGCUGCCUUCCGUAGGAGUUUGGGCCGUGUCUCAGUCCCAAUGUGGCCGGCCACCCUCUCAGGUCGGCUACUGAUCGUCGCCUUGGUGGGCCUCUACCCCGCCAACCAGCUAAUCAGACGCGGAUCCAUCUCAUACCGCCUCAGCUUUUCACACCGAGACAUGCAUCUCUGUGCGCUUAUGCGGUAUUAGCAGUCAUUUCUAACUGUUAUCCCCCUGUAUGAGGCAGGUUAU
rnacentral:rRNA from 1 species